CUGCCCUUUGCUCCCUGCAGGAAGCUCGCUCAUGGAAUUCUCGUCAGGCCCCUCUUGCUCAACGAGGCAGCUUGGCCAAUGGAGGCUCCCAAAAUCCUGCAUGGGAAGAGGGAGGGAGCGACAGGGAGCCCUUCCCCGGGCUCUGCAGCCUUGGGAAGGGUUGGAUACUUUUCCCUCAGGAUGCUCCAAGACCCCCUUUACCAGCAUCGAGACAAGUUUUGGAUGGGGAAAGCCUGGCUGGAUGCUCUGGGGGGAUCAGCAAGACCCUCCUACAUUCCCUCCCACCAACACAGGACAAAAUUUAUGAGCCUGGUGGAACUGAAAUUCUUUUUCCAACCCCAAAAUCCAUGAGGUUUUUUCCAAAGAAAAUAGAUUACAAUGGAGAAAAGCUCUCCACAGAAACUUGCUGCUUCCUGGGACAAACUUUAUAUCCCCAUAAAAAUACCAAAAGUCAACAUUU